rnacentral:rRNA from 1 species
AUCCUGUCUGAAGAUGGGGGGACCAUCCUCCAAGGCUAAAUACUCGUAAUCGACCGAUAGUGAACCAGUACCGUGAGGGAAAGGCGAAAAGAACCCCGGGAGGGGAGUGAAAUAGAUCCUGAAACCGUAUGCAUACAAAAAGUCGGAGCCCGCAAGGGUGACGGCGUACCUUUUGUAUAAUGGGUCAGCGACUUACAUUCAGUGGCAAGCUUAACCGAGUAGGGAAGGCGUAGGGAAACCGAGUCCGAAUAGGGCGUUCAGUCGCUGGGUGUAGACCCGAAACCAAGUGAUCUAUCCAUGGCCAGGAUGAAGGUGCGGUAACACGCACUGGAGGUCCGAACCGACUAGUGUUGUAAAACUAGCGGAUGAGCUGUGGAUAGGGGUGAAAGGCUAAACAAACUUGGAAAUAGCUGGUUCUCUCCGAAAACUAUUUAGGUAGUGCCUCAAGUAUUACCGUCGGGGGUAGAGCACUGUUAUGGCUAGGGGGUCAUGGCGACUUACCAAACCAUGGCAAACUCCGAAUACCGAUGAGUACAGCUUGGGAGACAGUGCACCGGGUGCUAACGUCCGGACACGAGAGGGAAACAACCCAGACCGCCAGCUAAGGUCCCUAAUAUUGGCUAAGUGGGAAACGAAGUGGGAAGGCUAAAACAGUCAGGAUGUUGGCUUAGAAGCAGCCACCAUUUAAAGAAAGCGUAAUAGCUCACUGAUCGAGUCGUCCUGCGCGGAAGAUGUAACGGGGCUAAGCCAGUAACCGAAGCUGCGGAUCUCGCAAGAGAUGGUAGGAGAGCGUUCUGUAAGCCUGCGAAGGUGGAUCGUAAGGUCUGCUGGAGGUAUCAGAAGUGCGAAUGCUGACAUGAGUAGCGUUAAAGGGGGUGAAAAGCCCCCUCGCCGAAAGCGCAAGGUUUCCUACGCAACGUUCAUCGGCGUAGGGUGAGUCGGCCCCUAAGGCGAGGCAGAGAUGCGUAGCUGAUGGGAAACAGGUUAAUAUUCCUGUACCGAUCUAUGGUGCGAUGUGGGGACGGAGAAGGUUAGCUCAGCCAACUGUUGGAAUAGUUGGUUCAAGCAUGUAGGCGUGCUCUUUAGGCAAAUCCGGAGAGCUUAGCUGAGGUGUGAUAACGAGGCUGCUUGCAGCCGAAGUGAGUGAUACCCUGCUUCCAGGAAAAGCCACUAAGCUUCAGCCAUAGAUUGACCGUACCGCAAACCGACACUGGUGCGCGAGAUGAGUAUUCUAAGGCGCUUGAGAGAACUCUGGAGAAGGAACUCGGCAAAUUGACACCGUAACUUCGGAAGAAGGUGUGCCUUUAGUAGGUGAAGUCCCUCGCGGAUGGAGCCCAACGAGGUUGCAAAAAAUCGGUGGCUGCGACUGUUUAUUAAAAACACAGCACUCUGCAAACACGAAAGUGGACGUAUAGGGUGUGACGCCUGCCCGGUGCUGGAAGAUUAAUUGAUGGGGUGCAAGCUCUUGAUCGAAGUCCCAGUAAACGGCGGCCGUAACUAUAACGGUCCUAAGGUAGCGAAAUUCCUUGUCGGGUAAGUUCCGACCUGCACGAAUGGCGUAACGAUGGCCACACUGUCUCCUCCAGAGACUCAGCGAAGUUGAAAUGUUUGUGAUGAUGCAAUCUCCCCGCGGAAAGACGGAAAGACCCCAUGAACCUUUACUGUAGCUUUGUAUUGGACUUUGAACAGAUCUGUGUAGGAUAGGUGGGAGGCUUUGAAGCC